rnacentral:ncRNA from 1 species
AGUAAAACGGUGAAAGGGAUAGUAAUCCUUUACAAUUCUUAUAUAGCGAAUCGAGGAUGGUGUAAGCUCGACAUAAGGAAAAAGGAUGAAGAUCACCCUAGAGUUCCAUGCUGAACAUAUUUGUAAGUAAGCACAGGCGAAUCAUUCUCGUUACGAAUGCUUGAGUGGAUUAGUUUUAAUGAAUUAAUCUAAUAGGGUGGUACCGCGAGAUAAACCUUCUCGUCCCUUGU